AUUGAACGCUGGCGGCAUGCCUUACACAUGCAAGUCGAACGGCAGUACGGGAGCAAUCCUGGUGGCGAGUGGCGAACGGGUGAGUAAAGUAUCGGAACGUGCCCAGUCGUGGGGGACAACGUAGCGAAAGUUACGCUAAUACCGCAUACGAUCUAUGGAUGAAAGCGGGGGAUCGCAAGACCUCGCGCGAUUGGAGCGGCCGAUAUCAGAUUAGGUAGUUGGUGGGGUAAAGGCUCACCAAGCCGACGAUCUGUAGCUGGUCUGAGAGGACGACCAGGCACACGGGGACGGGGACACGGCCCAGAUUCCGACGGGAGGCAGCAGUGGGGAAUUUUGGACAAUGGGCGAAAGCCUGAUCCAGCCAUGCCGCGUGCAGGAUGAAGGCCUUCGGGUUGUAAACUGCUUUUGUACGGAACGAAAAGGUUUGGCCUAAUAAGCUGAGCUCAUGACGGUACCGUAAGAAUGAGCACCGGCUAACUACGUGCCAGCCGCCGCAGUAACAC
rnacentral:rRNA from 1 species